GUUCUCCUCAGAGAGCUUUGGGUGCAGAAUUGCCUGCAGGGAAGGCUGUGCCAAAUCCUCCUGUGCUGGAGCCCCGCAGGCAUCCCAGGGUGGCUGUUGUCUUUAUUGACUUCCCCGAAAAGACCGCUCGGUUCGAGGCUUUGUUUCUCUGAGAUUUCUCUUCAUGCUUUCUGUUAAGGUCCUGGAGGAUGGAAGGUGGCAUGGGAAGAUGGAAAAUAUUCCAAGAGACUGUCCCGUUUACUAAGGGCAAUCCUGAAGAAGGCAGCACGGGGUGAGUGUGUUUCUGUCUGUUCCCUGAAGGACUUGGGAAGCUGAGUUUCUAGAAGUAGACGUGGAGAAACUGUAGCGUGCACAGCAGGAAAGGACAGAUGAGAGCCCUGCUGCGGUGAUGGCCCUGUGUCUGAACUGGCUUGCAGCUUUUGGCUGCUCUCUUUGAGGGGAGGAAUUGAGCAUCGUCUUGCAACUCGCCAGAAUCACACCAGGUGCCCCGUGAACGAGAAGCUUGCCUGCAACCUGCUGGUCUCCCAGCAGGAUGGGGAUUGCUGUCUGUGCUCACAGAGGGAAAGUGUGCAGCCCUUCAGUUUGUCUCACGGAACGGCACGCAGUUGGGACUAGGAAUGAGGUGCAGCGCAAAAAGCCCAGGCUUUCUUCCUAAACCGGACUGGUUCCCUUGAGAACUGGUGCCUCUUGAAGAUACCGUCUUCCUGAUGAGAAGCAGUUCCUUACAGCCCCACUCUCUUCCCUCCUUUCUAAAGAGGCAGAUGGAGAGCCUGUGCACAGGGUGCAUUUCAGCAAGGCAGCCGUCUCACACUGCCCGUCCAGCCGGGAGCGACAGAGGCCACGCAAACAGCUGGUGCUGCAGAACAACAUUCAGCAGCAGAUGAGGGGAGGAAAUAGGACCCACCAACGUACCUCCUGCCCAGAGUCCCUGUAUUCCAGAGCUUGAGGCGCCUUCCUUGAGGCACCAGGCACAACAGCAUCCUGGAGCUGGAUCCGUCCUGUGGCAGUUCUUGUCCAUGUCACAUAUCUCCGAUUAACAGAAUGACCCAGGUUGGCAAAUCCAUGGCCCGGGAAGGUCUGGACCGUGGCAGAGCCAGAGUGUAAACAAAGCUGAGAGGCCAACAAGAGGUUCCAGAGUGCCUUGCUGUGCAGUGCCUUUGGGAGUUCCCUUUGCUUCGCUGGAAUCAGGGAAACAUUGCAGCCCGAGCAUUGUCACGUCUUCCUGGAGGCCAACAGAAUGCAAGACAACGUUUUGUGGCCAUGUCAGAGCUCUUGUGAGACUGCCAGUAGGGCACGAGACACAGCACGUUGUUCCUGCAGGUGCGGAAGGGGAGGGACGUGGAAAUGGCAGAGAAGACCAAGUGUUACUGAAGUACUGCCUGGCACUGACUGCAGCUCUCGUGGUUUCCAUGCUGGCAGCAAUGAUAGCGUGCUGUCUGCUUAUCCGGCGAUGGAGGCAGAGCAACCAGCGCCUGGCUGCAGCUGAUGGAGCCCAGCAUGAUGUCCACGGCCACAGCAUGCCCUCGGAUGGACGUCCUGCUUUCCUCAAGGGGCCUGGCAGAUGGAGAUGAUGCCAACAACAAUGACCACCUGCCCAGCGGCCGCGUGGCACCACCAGGGCAGCCCCUGCCAGGCCAGCAGAGGUACAGUCUGUUGCGCUGCUCCAAGUAGCACUCAGCUGCCACGAUAGCAGCCUGCAGCUCCUCUCCAGCACCUGCCCUAGGUCACUGAUUUCUCAGGAUCCUGCAGGGGGUGUGACAUCACCGUGCUUCAACUCUCAGCACUGCUUCCCUCCUCCAGAGCCAGGGCCACAAACAAAGCAGCCGUCGGUGUCAGCUGGAAAAGCAUCCCAGUGCUCUGCAAGAGGACACAGGGCUCCUGUUCUGACAGCUUCCCUCAGCAGCCCACUGCCGAAAUGCUUUGUGGGCUUCCUUCCAGCGAGAUGCUAAGGACAGAGGCAGUCACAUCAGCUGCCUGUACAUCAACUGGGAGAUGAUUUCAUGUUCAUCCCUGGCCAACACAACAGGGGCUUCUUUCUUUAACACCUUCAUUACGCCUUCUCAACUGAGUAUAGCUUUUCUAAAACAAUCCUCAGCACUACAAAUGACAAUAUUCAGAACAUCUAUAUCUAUAUGGAAUGGAGAUGUUCCUAAUGAAUUAAAUAAAAUUUUAAAAAAAAAGAAAAAGAAACAAGCAAAGAACCCAAGAAGCUGCUUCCUUCAAAAGUCAGAGCAUUCUGACAAGGAGAAAACAGUAAAACUAAGCCUGCCAUACCACGUCAUUGCCAUUCAGGGCUCAAACUGAGGCAGCCAGCUGAGCAGGGAAGGACUUCUAUCAGAUGCUGCUCAGUAACGGCACCCAGAACAAAGCAGCAAGGAUGUUACGAGUAGGAGACUGCUGCUGGCAGUUAUCACCUUCUGUCUUCGCAGCAGCACGGCUCAAAACCAGAAAUCUCUCGUCAGGCCAAGAUCUUUGUGAAGCAGCACUUUGUUCACUGUGGCAAGUAGGGGCACACAGCCCCUACUGACAAGGGAGGAAUUGCGUGCCUGCUCAGUGAAAUCCACGCUGUUCCACAGCCUGGCUCUGACACAGCUAAUCUCUCUCCUGGAACUCAUUGGUGGAAUGUCUCAGGCUCACAAUCUUCCUGACACUGUUGCUGCCAUGUGAGGUCUGUUACCAACCUGUUGUUUUGAGCUAUCUUCUGUCCUUUUCUGUGAAGAUAGGAGGACAGCACUUCCAAAAGUCAGCACAUUGGUUCUGUCCUGUGCUAGGCUGGCUCUCCCCACCCUGCGCUUUUACCUUGCCACGAGCCUGUGCCAGUUCGACUCUGCUUGGAACACCCCAGUCCCAGGCACAAUCUGCCUCUCACACAAGGCAGCAGGUAGGUGCGGAGAGGAUGGCCAAGGCGGCAGGUAAGCAGGGUGAGGCGUGCAAAGGUGGCAGGAAGGCAAUGUGGGGCAUGUCACUGCAUCAGGUAGGUGUUGCAAGGUGUGCCAGGGCGGCAGGAAGAUGCGGCAAGGCAAGGCGGCAGGGGCCUUCUGCAAUGUGUGCAAAGAAUCACAGAAUCACAGAAUGGCCUGGGUUGACAAGGAGCACAGUGAUCACGUAGUUUCAAGCCCCUGCUGUGUGCAGGGUCGCCAACCAGCAGAGCAGGCUGCCCAGAGCCACAUCCAGCCUGGCCUCGAAUGCCUCCAGGGAUGGGGCAUCCACAACCUCCUUGGGCAAGCUGUUCCAGGCAGCAGGUAGGCAAGGUGAGGCAAGCCAAGGCAGCAGGUGGGCACUGAGAAGUGUGCAAAGGUAGCAGGAAGGCACUGCGAGGCGUGCAGGCCAGCUCUGGGCUCUAAAGCCACAUCGACAGCCAGACAAGUCAGUGCCGACCGUGGGGCCGAAAGCCACAGCCCGAGAGGCUGGAAGCAGCCCAAGGACUUAAAGCCACAGCCACAGUCAGAGAGGCCAGCACCAAGCCCAGGGCCCGAAGCCCCAGCCAGUGAGGCUGCCACCGGCCCAAGGGCCGAAAGCCACAGCCCCAGAGCUGGGAAGCAGCCCAGGGACUUCAAGCCACAGCCACAGUCUGAGAGGCCAGCACUGGCCCGGCUCCUAAAGGCCCAAACAGCGAGGCUGGCACCGGCCCAAGGGCCGAAAGCCAAAGCCACUGCCAUGGAGGCCGGCAGCAUCCCCGGGGCCUAAAGCCAAAGCCACAGCCCGAGAGGCCGGCACCACACCUGGGGCUUCAGGACACAACUGCAGACAGGCUGGCACUGGCCUCCAGGCCUGAAGCCACAGCCACAGAAACAGCACUGGCCCAGGGCUUAACAGCCACAGCCACAGAAACAGCACUGGCCCUGGGACCUAAAGCCAAAGCCUCAGAGGCCAACAUCAGCCCCGGGGCCUAAAGCCACAACCAGAGAUGCCGGCACCGGCCCAGAGCACGCAGAUGUGCAUUCCUGUUCUUUCCUGUGCUUCCUAUGGGACACUCUUGACCACUAUCAGGUCCACGCGGCUUUUUGUUUGUUUGUUUUAAAUCAGGACACAUUAUGCCUGUUGUGUUUUCCAUACGUUGCUUAACAAAGUCUCCCUCAGGAAAUGGUUUUGAGUUUCAUGCAGUCAGAUUUGCUUUCUGUAACAGAGUCCACCUGAAUUUUUAAACUAUUUUGUUGAGGUUUAAGACAUUCUGUUCUUUAUAGUACCCCUGUUUUGUCUUUAUGGAGCAUUUCUUGAUACGCAUCGAGUUUGGCAGCCUGGAGAAGAGAAGGCUCCAGGCAGACCUAAGAGCGGCCUUCAGUAUUCCAAGGGGGGCUGCAAGACAGACGGGGACAGAGUCUUUAGAUUGGACACACGGAAGAAGUCUGUUACAAUAGAAGGGUGGCACUGGAAGAGGGGCACUGAGGGACCCUGGGGCUCUCUGGAGCCCUGAGCACUGGGCCUCAGGGCCUGGGGAUGGAUGGGAUGGAGGGCACCAUCCCUGCCCCGCUCCAGGGGACCAUUGCCACCCCCAGACCUUCCCUCCUGCUUUGUGGGGCUGUGCAGAGGAGGAGGCUCUCGAGGUGUCCUAGAGAUGGCCCAGGGUCACUGUGCAGAUGGGACAGAGGCUGUGGCUGCUGCCCCCAGGGGACCCACAUCCCGCCCUGGGCUGCUGCCAGCCCUUCUCCUGCCCAAAAUCCUGAGGCACAAACCCUGCAGGGACAAGGCUUCUCCUGCUCAGAGGCAGCGUUUGGCAUCCUCUCUGAUCAUAAUCUCUGACAUCCUCCAAUGACCAAUAAAGCCUUCAGCAAAGCCACGCUCUGUGUGUCUGUGUCCUCGUCCCCACGCUCAGCAGGACUGCUCGUGUCUGUCCCUGCCUUGCAGAGGCCACUGCUAAGAGCUGGGAGGGAUCCCCAGCUCCAUGCCCCGCACCUCACGUCCUGCACCUGUGGGCCUCUCCAUCCCCUCUGUGUUGUGCUGCCUGCUCCAAAAUCCUAAAGGACGGAGUUGCCCGUGCUGCCAAGCAGCCCCAGUACCCUCCGUCUGCUCUCUCCCAAUUCCGCCUUCCACUUCCUCCCAAACCCUUCACCCUUUCUUCCACCUCCAUGGCCAUGACGUCUCCAGCUCGCUCUCCUUUUACCCCCUCCCUUACCACACCCAAUUGCCCCUCACUUGGAUCUGCUCCAGCCCUCUUCCUUCAGUCCCACUUCCCCUCCAUCAUUACCCAACAUGGAG